rnacentral:lncRNA from 1 species
UAAUCUUCCGUACCUCCUCUAAAAACAACUGUGGAUCCUCAUCAGACUUGGACCCAUAGAAUUCUAGUGGAUUCAUCCGCAUGAAGUCAUGGAUCCUGGCAGCAGCUGAAUUACCUCCCUGCUACUGUGGAGCUGGGGCUGGGUUGGCCUGAACAUUUGCAGUAACAGCUUGGGCCAGCGCUUAAAAGGCUGCCCAAAAUUCAGCAUGAGACAUAUUUUCAUUCAAUGGGUCAGCAGGUUAAGGUUGCUGACCAUCAUUAUUUCUUCACGCUCGACGUGGAGGCAUAUUUCUGAAAGAGAAGAGCACGAAUCAAUAGCAGAGAGAGACACUUUAAGCACGAUAGACCUCUGAAAGAAAGAAUCACACUUUUUCCUAAAACUUCUUGUAGCCUAUUGCUCAUAGAUAUGGCGCGCUACACACCGAUGAACAAGACUCUACUUAACGCGGUUUGUCAGACCCACUAGGACACCUUAAAACCUUAGGCUCUGAUACCAAGUUUGUAACACCCCAAAAAUGGGUCUCGGAGCAUCACACGGUGCUUGAGGCUAUGAGUAGUCCCAAGCUAACCCUUGGACCCAUUUUUAUUUAGUUCAACACGAAUCAAUGGGGUUUUCAUAAAUAACCCUCAAAUAUCAACACAGUAAUCAUCAUCCAAGAAUAAAAGAAUUUCAGAAAGAUAAUAAAAUACGACUUAUUAGUCAACUCCCAACAUCUAUACUAGUUUGACAAGCCUCUAAGAAAAUUAAUAAAACCAGAGAGCCAUUAAGACAUGCCCCAACUAACUCAUACUCAGUUAUCAAAUGUAAACAAUUCUGUGGAACCAACAUCAGACAUCACGUCCUCAGAAUAUGAGGACUCACCACGAUAGAGGAUGUAGAACAGCGUGCCCAAAGAAUCACUGUCGAACCUAGAACUAAGCACCUAAACCUACAAAUCGAGGAAAUCCAGCCCACAUCUGAAGAUGUGGGUCAGUACCAUGGAAAGGAAUCGAGUAUAUGGGGGUGUAUGCAGUUUUAUAAACAUAAUCAUCAUAAAUAUUUAUAAAAAAUAAGCAGGAUGUAUGAAAGACUCACAUAGCCCGAAGAAAAUCAUCAUAAUCAUGAGAGGAUGAAAUAAGUACAAUAACACAUGUGAGUCAUCAUAUAAUUUGUCAAUCACUUUCAGUUCAUCAAGAAUAUCAAUUCUCAUAAUGUAAAUAUCAUUUAAAUCUUUCGAAAGAAUAACUUUCACAAUUCCACUUUCAAAUCACUUCACCAUUCACCAUAGACACAAGGAAACACACACACACUGAGAGAUCCUCUACAUGGAGUCCAACGUACAACCCACGUUAGGGAGAGCCGUCCUAUCCUUGCCAUCGGAGUAGGACUAUCAAUAUCAAAUCCACACAAACUAGUGAUCACUAUAUAAAUCAGCCUCAAGCUCACUCCUACGAGGGCAUGUAGUUCUAGGGAAGUAAGGUCGCUUUAUACCUCCCACUCGGUGCUAAAGAUUUCUCCCGAACUUAGCUCAGAUCAUUUCAAAGACAAUCAACAACAAAACAAUUUUAGUAAUAUAUAAAUAUACAUCGGGAGCCAUCAUACUUCCCAUCUAUCAAAAUCAACCACAUUGUAGAUUUCUAUCACACUCGAGUUCAAAACAACUCUAUUAAGAAUAAAAGGUCAAAUCAUUCAAAAUAUCUCAAAUAUUCAACAUCAAGGUGCUUAUAACAUAUACUUUCUCAAAAAGCACAAUUUCCAAUGGGGAUUCAUGACCCAAAUAUCAAAAUCAUGAUAAAUAAUGUUCAAGAUCCAUGUGUUAUAUCUCCACACAUGUAAAUUCAUCUUUCAAAAUCAUAAACAUCAAGAUUUCAUAAUAAUCAUCAUAAUAUAUGGGUUCGUGCUUCAAAUUCAUAAAAGUCAAAUAAAAAUCAUGCUUUUGUAAAAAAAAUUACUUUUGGGCACAAAAACGAAAGAGAGUUCUUGUUGAAAAACUCCACAUACCUUGAACGAUGAACUUUAGAUCGAUACUCAUUUUUGAGAUAUUAAUCGUGCCUUUGAAUGAUGGUUCUUGGAGUUCUUGAACUAGGAACUUAGAAUCUUGAAUAAAUUUGCAGAAUUAGUGGUAAACUUUGGAGGUUCUUGAAGUUGGAUGUAAGAGCUUAGAGUUUUCUUUUUGAGGGUAAUUUGAUGAAAUAUAACAUAUAAUGCUUCUAAUAGGCUUUAAUAUAGGGUUUGGACAGAUUUUGGGUGAGGGGGAAUGACCAAAACGCCCCUAAAAAUUAAAUAAUUCUCGAAUCUGUCCUUUAGUGGACUAUUUUGAUAGUCUGAAGUAGAUCAAUCAUAAUGUUUUACUUCAAUAUACAAAUUGGAUAAAACUAAUUUCAUUAGAAAGAGGACUCUCAUAUCUUUCCAUUGAUAUAUAGUAUCUCACCCAUAUCAUUAUGUACGAGGAGUUAUGAUCGUUUGAAGUUGACCAAAAAAUUUGCUUUUGAUAGACUGAAGUAGAUCGACCAUAACUUUUUACUCCGAUGGACAAAUUAGAUGAAACCAAUUUCAUUGGAAAGAGGACUCACAGAUAUUUCCGUUCAUAUAUAGUAGAUCACCCAGAUCAUUAUGUACAAGGAGUUAUGAUCAUUUAAAGUUGGAGCAAAAGUAUGCCAAGUCUCAGUACUUUUUCCUGCACAUUUUACUGUUCACUACUAUUCACGGUUCGAUCGGAAUAUUCAUAACUCGUCCUGCACAUUUUACUGUUCACUACUAUUCAUGGUUCGAUCGGAAUAUUCAUAACUCGUCGCUCGGGUGUCCAUUUUGGAUGAUCCAGAUAUCAUUGGAAAGCUUAUUCAAUACUCUACGCAAUGGUGGGUCAUAUCUAAGACAUUCCGCAUGAAAAAUUUAUAAUUCAUUCUAGAAGAUAGAACCCAACACGUUUACACACAAAAUUUCAAAAAAAAAAAUUCUCGGGGUAUUACAAUGAGUCAGCUAGUCGACUCACAUUCUACCUAUAUUGAGAAACUAGAACAACAAAUGAACUAGUUAUCUACAGUAUUCAACUAGAGAAAAAGCUGAACAUUAUCGAGUGAUACAAUGCAAAAUCCUUGAAAUGAUGGCUCUUGCAUGGCGAUUACCACUUGAAGUGGUAAAGUAUUAUCGGGCCCUUUUGUUGGAAAAUCUUUGAUUGAUGAUGGGAUGGAGUUAGAUGCAGAAGUAGAAGAAAACCAUCCAGUAGAGACUAAGAAGCUGGAUAAUGAUAAGAUUUUAUCUAAACAUCAGCAGGUUGAUGAGUUAGAUAAAGAUAAGGUAAAGGAUGGAUGACACAAAAUUUAGCAAGUUCCUGGCAAUGCUAAAAUAGUUGAUGGUGAAUGUGUCUUUAGUGGAGGCAUUGGAACAAAUGUCUGGCUAUGCUAAGUUCAUGAAGGAUCUUGUGACAAAGAAAAGAAUAGUAAGGUACGAACCAGCGGACAAACUUCACCAUUGUAGAGCUAUUUCUACAAGAUCCUUGGUGCAGAAGAAAAUGGACCCAGGAGCUUUCACUAUCCCUUGUACUAUUGGAUUACUUAAUUUUUCUAAGGCCUUGUGUGACCUUUGGGAAAGUAUUAAUCUGAUGCCACUGGCAGUUUACAAGAAGUUGGGUUUGGGAGAUACUACACCCACCAAUAUGCAACUUGUAAUGCCAAACAGAUUAGUGAAGCGGCUAGUCGAAAUAUUAUAUAAUGUGCUUUCAAAAGUGGCUAGUUUUAUUUUCCCUAUUGAUUUUUUCAUCUUGGAUUGUGAGGUGGACAUUGAGGUACCCAUAAUCUUGGGUAGACCUUUCCUUGCAAUCGGGAGUGAGUUGAUUGACUUGCAAACUAAUAAGCUGAAGUUUAGGCUCAAUGAGAAGGUGGUCAUUUUUUAUGUUUGAAAGUCAAUAAAGUAGCAAAAGGAGAUAAGUGUAUUCUUGAUCAUUGAUAUAUAUUAUGAGAUAAACAUGAGGUACCGAUUGAGGAUAAAUAUGGCAUGGAAACAUUGGUUGCUAUGUUGAUAAAAUUUGCUAGUGAGGGUAUCGAAGAAUAUGAAAAGAUGGUGUGUGCAUUAACUGGGAUAGGAUCAUAUUCAUAUGCUCCCAAGAAGCUAGACUUGGACCUUAAAAUUUGCCUAACACCACCGGCUAAGCCAUCUAUUAAAGAGCCACCGACGUUGGAACUUAAUGAGUUGCCAGGCCAUCUGCGCUAUGCAUUCUUAGUAGUGAUAACACUUUGCCGGACAUUAUUGCAGCAGAUUUGGUAAAGCUGCAGGUUAAGGCCCUUAUUUUUGUUCGUAGGAGGUACAAAAAGCUAUCGGAUGGAUGAUUGCAGAUAUUAUUAGUAUCCCUCCAAGCAUAUGUACCCAUAAGAUCUAGCUAGAAGAUGAUUGCAGAUCGACCUUUGAGCAUCAAUGUAGACUAAACCUACCUAUGCAAGAAGUGGUGAAAAAAGAGAUUGUAAAGUAGCUUGAUCCAGGGGUAGUGUACCCGAUCUCUAACAGUAAGUGGGUAAGUCCAGUACAGUACGUGCCCAAGAAAGGAGGUGGACUGUGGGUGAUAAUAAGAAGAAUGAGAUAAUUCUGCUUAGGCCAAUAAAUAGGUGGUGAGUUUGCAUAGACUACUGAAAUUUGAAUUCAUGGAUGUUAAAAUAUCAUUUUUCAAUGCCCUUCAUGGAUCAAAUGCUUGAUCGCUUAGAAUGAAGGGGUUGGUAUUGCUUUUUGGAUAGAUAUUCGGGAUACAACCAGAAUAGGGUCCACUUGCUAAAUAAGACAUCUUGUGGUUUGGGUCCACUUGCCAUGCAAGAUAAGAUAGCUCGUGAUUAGGUUCCACUUGUUAUACAAGAUACAACGGCUUAUGGUUUGGGUCCACUUUCCAUAUAAGACAUAACGGCUUGAGGUUAGGGUCCUCUUUCUAUAAUAGAUGAGACAGCUAGAGGUUAGGUUCCUUUUGCUUAAUAUAACCUAAAGGUUCAAACGUUCUUAACUAGAAGGGUGGAAGGUUGGAGUCCUUCACUACAUCUUUCAUGAUUGAGUGUUUUCAAAAAGGCAUGCUAAGCCUUGUUUUUUCCUUUUUGGCACGUUAUGAAUCUAUAUAUGUGUACGUAUAUAAAUAUGGUUGCAUAUGAUGGUUUGACUUGGUAUUAAAUAAUGGUACUAGUUUAUCCUUAUCCUUGAGUUACAUGUUAGUGCUCCAACUGUUAACCAUCUCCGAACGUUAUGUGCCCACGUGACAUAGGGGCCAAAGCUUCUUCUUCUCUUCUUGCGUAGUGACAGGUGUUCGAGUGGUUCAUGUGUUGACAUUGAAGUGGUGAACUUCCAUAUUUCAGAAGACAUACAUUUUAUAGUCUUUCAAUCUUAUGCUAUAGAUUUGUUUUAGACUUGGCUUAUGGUUAUUAUCAGGGGCAUGUCCCGAAAUAUUAUAGACAUCGGAUUUGUAGAGGCUUUGUGUAUGAUUGUGGACUUGGGUAUAUUGGUUAGUAUAUUGAUGUAAAUGAAUUGAUUAGACAUCUCUUAAGUCAUAAUCAUUAGUCUUUUUUCCGCUACCUUAUUAUAUGUUCGGAGUUCAUCCGGCACUUGCCGUUUGAUAUGAUGGUUAGGUUGGGUUAAUGGGCAAUCUUCGAUCCUUGUUGGGCUUGAAAUGCCCAUUUGACAAGGCCCAAUUUUGGGUCGUGUCACCUACCUAGAUUAUUGCUACUUACUCCAAAAGAGGAGUAGUGACUAGGAAAAGAUAAUUACAACAGCGAUUUGAAUAUUAAUCGUCGAUCCAUGCUAAUAGGUAUUAUCUAAGUAAAAUCAUUAACUAACAUCUAAUAACUAGAGACCCAAAAGGUAAUAUUUAAUUGGGAUCAAGGAUAAGUGUUGGUAAGGUGACAUCUUGAGACUCAAAAGGUAAAGGGUGGAAUCCAUUAACUAGUCCAAAAGACAGUUGAUAGUACAUAACUUAUCAGAUUCUGCAUGCAAGAUAUCGGGUUGGUUCAAUAAAAGCACAAUAAGCCUAUUGAAUUGAGAAGUUAGGGAAAACAAAAUCCUACUGUUCAUCUACAACUUAUUACAACCAGAGUUGAUAUUUGUUAUUUGUUCGAUAUUACCACUAUAAUCCCCUAUUUACUUUUUCAGUUCUGCCCGUUGAUUACAAUAGUUAAGAGCCACAAUUCCAUGUAUUUCCUUGGGAUUCAACCCCAACCGUUGUUGGGCUACUAUAUUUGACAAAGAAUGCAUUAUCUUCAGAUUGAAGGUGUACCUUGGGCAUUAUUAGGGACAAUGCUAGAGAUGAGGAGAUAGAGGUCCAACAUUUUGUUAGAAAUGGAGAAUGGGAUAAAGAGUUGCUAUUAUCUCAACUGUCAGAAAAAAUGGUUGAUCUUAUCAUUAGAAAUAUUAAGGCUCUUAGGAAUGGUAACUCUAAUGAUCUCCCUUAGUGGAUGGGUGGUACUCAUGGCAUGUUCUUAGUUAAAACAACCUAGAAUCACAAGUAAGAGACAAGGAGAGAUUAUGAUUUCAUCUAGGCCAAAGGUUUGCCUUUUAAGGUGAAUUUUUUUUAUAUGGAGGUUGUAGAAAAGGAGAAUUGCAACUGAUGAUAACUUUAAAAGAAUGAGAAUAUAGUUGGUAUCAAGGUGUUGGUGUUGUGAGGAGAAUGUCAAGGAAAUAAUGUCUUAUCUAUUUCUAACAUCCCCUGUAGCCAUGAGGCUAUGAAGGCAGUUUGCUUAUUUUGCAAGUAUUCAAGUGGAGAACAUGCAACUUCAAUAGCUUAUAAUAGUUUGGUGGAAGUAAGCACCAACAAAAUUAAAGGUGUUAUAUAGAGCAAUACCAACUAUAAUAAUUUGGACUCUAUAGAAGAGAAGAAAUUAUAUUAAACAUGGAGGAACUGUACAGUUCACUGGAAUGGUCAUACAGAUAUAUGAUGUGGUGAAAAAGGUUAUCAAAAUACUAUAUCCCUGGAUAAAGAGUGAGCAUGGACAUGGCUAGAAGUUAUUGCCAAGAUAAAAGCCCACAAGCCCAAGUUGCACUAUCACAGUGGAAUUUGGAGGAAGCCAGAGAACCAGCAGGUGAAGUGAAACACUGAUGGAGCUUGCAGAGGAAAUCCUGGGAUAAGUUCCUGUGGUUUCUGCCUAAGGGAUAACAAAGUAGAUCUAAUAUAUGCAAGAGCAAAGGGAUUGGGAGCAGGCACUAACACAGAAGCUAAAUAAUUAGCAAUAAAAGAAGCCUUAGAGUACUGUUAUGAAAAGAACAUAAUUGACUUUAUUCUUGAAAUAGACUCCUUUGGCCUCAGAAAAAUGAUUCUACAACAGUGGAAAGUGCCUUAGGAAUUAGCAGAGCUAUUUGAUAAGGUUAGGAAGAAUGGACAGAAGAUGAAUGUUAUAGUCAUGCACAUAUUCUAGGAAGGAAACACUGUGGAAGAUUCCUUAGCCAAUGAGCUGAUUGAAUCAAAAAUGACAUAGGAAUUCCAUAAUUUUCAUGAACUUCCAACACAUACAAAAAUACUGAUUAACAUAGAUAAAGCAUAGAUCCCAAACACCAGGGUGAAAAGACAAAGAUAAUACCACAAUGAGAAACAAAAGAAGAAUCACAAAUACAAGAAAAUAGGAAAUUCAUUCAAGUUGUAAGAGCAUGGAUGUACCAAUAAUAUUUACAAAGCUACAGUUAUCCAAAAACACUAGCACGCCAUAAUUAAUGAAAGAGCAUGCCUAGAAGAAGACAUUACAACAGUGCCAAUAAAAGUUAGGACUAAAAGUUUUAGCUAUCAAAAACCUGCACCAAAAAUAGAGGUUUUUGGGGCGUUGCACUACCAUGGAUCACCAGUUGUAGAUGCAGAAGAAUCGAGACUGCCACAAUCUCAAUCCCACCUGAAAUGUGGAUAAAUAGGUCAGAAAUGGAGUAAAUGAAAAAGGAAAAGAAAAGACAAGAGAGAAAACAUAUUGGUAUCUCAUGAUCUGGUGGAAAUGGUAUUCCUUCUAUGGUUCCUUGGGGUUAAAACCCAACCACCUACGAGAUCAAAAGUUAGGUUAAUAAAUGAAAAGAAAAGAGAGAAGAAGGAAAAAGAGAGAAGCUCACUAUGAAAUAGUGAAGAGGGUAGACAGAGCUCAACAAUCACCAUUGUAGGCUCAUGCUUGAACACGACCAAAAGGAGGAAGAACUUCAGCUUGCAAGUUCCACCGGCAACACUUCGACAGCAUGGUUCAACUCACAAGGCAGCAGCAAGUAGAAAGAAAGAGUACUUUGUACUUGAAGAAUAAAGGCAGAUAUUUAUACUACUUUAGGAAACGUUUUAUUUUCCUCUUUAUUUUGGAUCGAGUUCUAUUUUG